UACGGAGGGGGCUAGCGUUGUUCGGAAUUACUGGGCGUAAAGCGCGCGUAGGCGGCUUUGUAAGUUAGAGGUGAAAGCCCGGAGCUUAACUCCGGAACUGCCUUUAAGACUGCAUCGCUAGAAUCGUGGAGAGGUGAGUGGAAUUCCGAGUGUAGAGGUGAAAUUCGUAGAUAUUCGGAGGAACACCAGUGGCGAAGGCGGCUCACUGGUCCGGUACUGACGCUGAGGUGCGAAAGCGUGGGGAGCAAACAGG
rnacentral:rRNA from 1 species